rnacentral:rRNA from 1 species
UACGGGGGGGGGCAAGCGUUGUUCGGAAUUACUGGGCGUAAAGGGCUCGUAGGCGGCCAACUAAGUCAUACGUGAAAUCCCUCGGCUUAACCGGGGAACUGCGUCUGAUACUGGAUGGCUUGAGUUCGGGAGAGGGAUGCGGAAUUCCAGGUGUAGCGGUGAAAUGCGUAGAUAUCUGGAGGAACACCUGUGGUGUAGACAGCUUACUGGACCACUUCUGACGCUGAGACACGAAAGCGUGGGUAGCAAACAGG